rnacentral:rRNA from 1 species
UUUGAUAGCGACCGGCGCACGGGUGAGUAACACGUAUCCAACCUGCCGAUGACUCGGGGAUAGCCUUUCGAAAGAAAGAUUAAUACCCGAUGGCAUAGUUCUUCCGCAUGGUAGAACUAUUAAAGAAUUUCGGUCAUCGAUGGGGAUGCGUUCCAUUAGGUUGUUGGCGGGGUAACGGCCCACCAAGCCUUCGAUGGAUAGGGGUUCUGAGAGGAAGGUCCCCCACAUUGGAACUGAGACACGGUCCAAACUCCUACGGGAGGCAGCAUG